AGAAGAAUAUUCUCCUAAAUAAUCCCAGUACACCAAUGGAAUAUAUUAUUUCAUCAGGUACUCAGCAGUAUUUCAAAUUUUGAGAAGUAUCAAAAAAUGUGCUCUGUUACAAAGUGGUCCCCGGGAAGAAAACGUUAUUUACAGAGAUACCUGUACUGCCCUGCUUUGACCUGGGACCCUAGGGACAUUGUUCCUAUGCUGAGUUACUGAGAUGAGCCAGCCCUGCAGCUAUGCCCAGCCUGCUCCAACCCUGCUGAUUUGCAUGUUCCCAGAGCACAGCCCCCUGCCCUGAAUACUUCUUAAUAGGCUGGUCACACCCUGUGCAGGAGUCAGUCCCAGUCAGGACACAGCACGGACAUGAGGGCCCCUGCUCAGCUCCUGGGGCUUCUGGUGCUCUGGCUGCCAGGUACCAGACAUGAUAUCCAGAUGACCCAGUCUCCAUCCUCCCUGUCUGCAUCUGUAGGAGACAGAGUCACCAUCACCUGCCGGGCGAGUCACAGCAUUAGCAAUAAAUUAGUCUGGUAUCAGCAGAAACCAGGGAAAGCCCCUACUCUCCUAAUUCAUGCUGCAACCAAACUGCAGACGGGGGUCCCAUCCUGGUUCAGAGGCAGUCAAUCUGGGACAGAUUUCACUCUCACCAUCAGCAGCCUGCAGCGUGAUGAUUUGGCCACUUAG